UUCAGAAGCCUGAUUCCGCCUGCCCUUCGGCCCACUGCCUCCUAUCUGUCCUCCCUCUCUCUCUCCCACGCGUUUUUGACAGCAGACGGCCAAGAAGGGCCGCCGUUGCUACUGCUCCUUUCUCGGCUGCAUCAGCGGCGCCUGCCCUUCGGCCCCGCCGCCCUGCUCAGCCGUCUCGGAUCAUGCCGCCUCGCCUCCUGCCAACCAACAACCGUCCGUCGAGAGUGAGAAUC
rnacentral:lncRNA from 1 species